GUUCAGUGGUUAGAACGUCAGUCUGCGGACUGAAGAGUCUCAGGUUCGAUUCCUGG
rfam:Myotis lucifugus cont2.46151, whole genome shotgun sequence.